rnacentral:rRNA from 1 species
ACGGGUGAGUAACACGUGGGUAACCUGCCCAUCAGAAGGGGAUAACACUUGGAAACAGGUGCUAAUACCGUAUAACACUAUUUUCCGCAUGGAAGAAAGUUGAAAGGCGCUUUUGCGCCACUGAUGGAUGGACCCGCGGUGCAUUAGCUAGUUGGUGAGGUAACGGCUCACCAAGGCCACGAUGCAUAGCCGACCUGAGAGGGUGAUCGGCCACACUGGGACUGAGACACGGCCCAGACUCCUACGGGAGGCAGCAGUAGGGAAUCUUCGGCAAUGGACGAAAGUCUGACCGAGCAACGCCGCGUGAGUGAAGAAGGUUUUCGGAUCGUAAAACUCUGUUGUUAGAGAAGAACAAGGAUGAGAGUAAAACGUUCAUCCCUUGACGGUAUCUAACCAGAAAGCCACGGCUAACUACGUGCCAGCAGCCGCGGUAAUACGUAGGUGGCAAGCGUUGUCCGGAUUUAUUGGGCGUAAAGCGAGCGCAGGCGGUUUCUUAAGUCUGAUGUGAAAGCCCCCGGCUCAACCGAGGAGGGUCAUUGGAAACUGGGAGACUUGAGUGCAGAAGAGGAGAGUGGAAUUCCAUGUGUAGCGGUGAAAUGCGUAGAUAUAUGGAGGAACACCAGUGGCGAAGGCGGCUCUCUGGUCUGUAACUGACGCUGAGGCUCGAAAGCGUGGGGAGCGAACAGGAUUAGAUACCCUGGUAGUCCACGCCGUAAA